rnacentral:rRNA from 1 species
GACGAACGCUGGCGGCGUGCCUAAUACAUGCAAGUCGAGCGAACGGACGCUAAUCUUGCUUCUCUGAUGUUUGCGGCGCACGGGUGAGUCACACGUGGAUAACCCACCUAUCAUAGUGGGAUAACUUCGGGAAACCGGCUCUAAUACCGGAUGAUAUUUUGCACCUCAUGGUUCAUAAGUGAAAGACGUCGUUGCUGUCACUUAUAGCUGGUUCUGCGCUGCGUUAUCUAGUUGGUAAGGUAACGGCUUACCACGGGUACGAUGGAUAGCCGAACUGAGCGGGGGGUCGGCCACACUGGAGCUGGGACACGGUCCAGGCUCCUACGGGAGGCAGCAGUAGGGAAUCUUCCGCAAUGGGCGGAAGCCUGACGGAGCAACGCCGCGUGAGUGAUGGAGGUCUUCGGAUCGUAAAACCCUGUUAUUAGGGAAGAACAGAUGUGUAAGUAACUGUGCACAUCUUGACGGUACCUAAUCAGAAAGCCACGGCUAACUACGUG